AUGAACGCUAGCGACAGGCCUAACACAUGCAAGUCGAGGGGCAGCACAAGGAGCAAUCUGAGGUGGCGACCGGCGCACGGGUGAGUAACACGUAUGCAACCUGCCUGUAAGCGGGGAAUAACCCGUUGAAAGACGGACUAAUACCGCAUAAUACUAAAUUACUGCAUGGUAAUUUAUUUUAAACAUUUAUGGCUUACAGAUGGGCAUGCGCAUGAUUAGCUAGUUGGAGAGGUAACGGCUCCCCAAGGCAACGAUCAUUAGGGGUUCUGAGAGGAAGGUCCCCCACACUGGUACUGAGACACGGACCAGACUCCUACGGGAGGCAGCAGUGAGGAAUAUUGGUCAAUGGACGAGAGUCUGAACCAGCCAAGUCGCGUGCAGGAAGAAUGUCCCUAUGGAUUGUAAACUGCUUUUGCAGGGGAAUAAAGUGCAUCACGUGUGAUGUUUUGUAUGUACUCUGCGAAUAAGGAUCGGCUAACUCCGUGCCAGCCGCAGC
rnacentral:rRNA from 1 species